CGAAUGUCAUAACGACUCUCGGCAACGGAUAUCUCGGCUCUCGCAUCGAUGAAGAACGUAGCGAAAUGCGAUACUUGGUGUGAAUUGCAGAAUCCCGUGAACCAUCGAGUCUUUGAACGCAAGUUGCGCCCGAAGCCGUCAGGCCGAGGGCACGCCUGCAUGGGCGUCACGCAU
rnacentral:rRNA from 1 species